UUUAACGGCCGCGGGACCGUGCGAAGGUAGCGAAAUCACUUGUCUCUUAAAUGGGGACCUGUAUGAAUGGCACAACGAGGGCUCAACUGUCUCCUUUUCUAGGUCAAUGAAAUUGAUCUCCCCGUGCAGAAGCGGGGAUACAACCAUAAGACGAGAAGACCCUAUGGAGCUUUAGACACCCGAACGCAGGCCAUGUCAAAAACCCCCUAACAAAGAAUUAAACAACUAAGCCUGCCCAUAUGUCUUUGGUUGGGGCGACCAUGAGGCAACAAAUAACCCUCACGUGGAUUUGGGAGUUUUCCCUCCUACAACUAAGAGCUCCAGCUCUAAUGAACAGAACUUCUGACCAAUCAGAUCCGGCAACGCCGAUCAACGAACCGAGUUACCCUAGGGAUAACAGCGCAAUCCCCUUUUAGAGUCCAUAUCGACAAGAGGGUUUACGACCUCGAUGUUGGAUCAGGACAUCCUAAUGGUGCAGCCGCUAUUAAGGGUUCGUUUGUUCAACGAUUAAAGUCCUACGUGA
rnacentral:rRNA from 1 species